CUUGGUCAUUUAGAGGAAGUAAAAGUCGUAACAAGGUCUCCGUUGGUGAACCAGCGGAGGGAUCAUUACCGAGUUAUACAACUCAUCAACCCUGUGAACAUACCUAAAACGUUGCUUCGGCGGGAACAGACGGCCCUGUAACAACGGGCCGCCCCCGCCAGAGGACCCCUAACUCUGUUUUUAUAAUGUUUUUCUGAGUAAACAAGCAAAUAAAUUAAAACUUUCAACAACGGAUCUCUUGGCUCUGGCAUCGAUGAAGAACGCAGCGAAAUGCGAUAAGUAAUGUGAAUUGCAGAAUUCAGUGAAUCAUCGAAUCUUUGAACGCACAUUGCGCCCGCCAGUAUUCUGGCGGGCAUGCCUGUUCGAGCGUCAUUACAACCCUCAGGCCCCCGGGCCUGGCGUUGGGGAUCGGCAGAAGCCCCCUGUGGGCACACGCCGUCCCUCAAAUACAGUGGCGGUCCCGCCGCAGCUUCCAUUGCGUAGUAGCUAACACCUCGCAACUGGAGAGCGGCGCGGCCAUGCCGUAAAACACCCAACUUCUGAAUGUUGACCUCGAAUCAGGUAGGAAUACCCGCUGAACUUAAGCAUAUCAAUAAGCGGAG
rnacentral:rRNA from 1 species